UUUUUUUUUAAUUUUAUUUUAAAUUUUUUUUUGAAAUACACAAAGAGCCUCAAGAGGAAUAAAACAAUUUAAAAACAACAAAAAAAAGAAAAAAAAAAAGAAAAGAGGCCUGGCAGCUUAAGUAUAUGCUUUAGUCACUUAGUUCCAGAAUGUUUUCGGAAUAACAGGAAAAAAAAAAGAUAAAAUAGCAAAAGUUGUAUAAAAAAUAAAGAAGCUCAUACCCAAAUUCACAAAACUAUUUUUUAAACCAAAGCACAUUUGAAUGAGUAUGGAACCUCACUUGGCUCAGAAAAGUACUAAUAUAUUUAUCUCAUUGUUUACAUAAACUUUUACAGUUUCAGACCUCAACAGAUCUAGGGGCCAGUCAAAAUUAAUCUUUGCUUUUUCCAUUGGUUUGUCUGAAGGCUAUUGCAGCGUUCCCCAAAUCGAGAGGGGAAACCUGCGACCCAGCCUGCAUUCCAGCACUGCUCGGGGAGGGCGAUCAGAAAUAUGGCACGGAGAUUUAGGAUUUUUGUCUUCAACCCUAGAGGGGCAUCACAGAAGAGACCCAGGCAGUAGUGCGGAGGCACUCCUGGGAGUGUCUCCGUCUGGGCAAGCAGGAGGUGCUUUGGGCUAGGGCCACAACGUGAAGCUGUGCCGCCGGCCACUGCAGCCGGGGCUGCCCAGGCCCUCAGUCUGCAGGUGCAACAGAAAGGCAAAUAUUGGUAUUUGGCCUAAACCAGCUGAGCUCUUCCUCAGAGGAGUAUGAGUGGGUAAACAGAGGGUAGAGAGAUGCAAGAAGCUCUGGAGAUCAGAGAAGGGUGUUGGCAGAAGAUGGUGGGAGCUGCUGUACCCAGCACAUCUCCUUAAUGCUAGCCAUGGGUGAGCUGGGCUGAACUGUUUUCCAGUCCUUACUGCAAAACGUCCAAAACCAAAUUCCUGGGAAAAAAAAAAAAAAAAAAAAAAAAAAAGCCCAGCUCUGUGCAUCUGGGGGAGUUAGCAGGAGCCACAGAGACCACAGAAGACACCAAAGAGCUAUUGGCACGCAGCUUCUGUGAGGCUCUGUGGCUGCUGACGUGGCAGAGUACGCACAACUCUGAACCGCCCCGCCGCGCCGGGCAGGGGCUGCGCAGAGGCAGCCGACGUCCAUGCGAGGAUGAGGUGGUGACUUGGGUAGCUUUAAGGGUCUGGGGUGAGGGCGAGAACGCAGGCACGUAGCCUCCUGCUUCUGUCUAGAGCUGUGCUGGGGCCUGCGCUACACUGUUCGGACUGUGAGCCACCUUUUAGUUGAACAGCUGGAUGGAUUCACUCCAGACCUUACAGUCAUGCGCAAAGAGACCGACCAAAACCUGCAAGGCUUUCUAGGUGAAACCUAAGCUUGAUUUGCAUGUUAGAACAGUCUAAAGAUGACCAAUGAAGAUGGUUUGCUAAACUACCGCUGAAGCCAAAAAAAAAAAAGGAUUUUUUUUUUUUAAAUUCCCCAUCAUUAGUCUUGACCCUUUGUAGCUUUUACCUUCUACACCAAAGCCACCUCAAACGUUUGAGGGGGGGGGCUGAUGGAAAAUGAAAUAUUAAUUUUGCCUGGUCUUAAUAUCUAACAAAGAUGGUGCAAACACUAUUUGACAGUGUUGUUUUUGUAUCAAUAUGUAUGUGCAGUAAUGAAUGUAUUUAUUUCUCAGAUUCUGUAUGCACAGUUUUGCAAUGUAAUUCAGAAAGUUGCAAACACAAAGAUGUGUCCGCAGGGUCUUCUCUACAGGAUUUCAAAAAAAUGAAAAAAUAUAUUAAAAAAAAAAAAGAAUCUCAGAGACUCUCAGCAUAGCCAUAAACCAUAACCUGUGAAGACAAUACAAAGACUGGACUUUUGUAGCUUUGCAUAGAAAAGGAAUUUAUGUUUUGCUGUAUUUAAAUGUUUCCAGUUACAGUGUCACUCUUUUAAGAUUCCUGUUUUGUUUUUUUUUUUUUCCUCUCUCUCGUGUGUGUGGAAAGCAUUGUUUUCAAGCAGUGCAGGUUCAAAGUCUGGGUUAGCAGUAUUUUACCGUGUCGCUUCAGUUCCGAAAAGCAGGAAUAUGGGUCUUGACCAGGGAAACAUCCAGCGCACUCAGUCAAACAAAAUGAAUUCUGGGGUAAAUGCUGGCAAAAUUCAGAGAAUGUAAAAGUUAUCAGAGGAACAGGUGUGUGCUUCCGAUUGCAACUUGUGACUGAGAGGAAUCUACGUCCUGAAGGUCAGGACAAAGCUCCUUUACCAAACCCCCUCUCUUCCUCCUUUUACUGCUUACUGUAAAAGCAAUAAGGAUCUCAAAGGUGGGGAGGCGAUGCCCAAGGUAGCUAGAGGAAGCUUCAUGCCAAACUCAGCAGCAUUUGUGCCAUUUUGUGACGGGCCUCGCAAACGAUACUGAAGCAUCAGAUUCCCUACCAAGCGAGGUGGUAAGAGUCCCUGGAAAAGCUGUACUUUACAAAGCCUCUCGUUCCAGUAUUGCUAGAGUUAGCAGUUAUGGACCUGCAAUAACCUUAAAAAUUAUCAUGAAGAAAGGGAUGUUUGUUGAUUACCAGGUAUAUGCCGAAUCCAGAAGCCUUUCCAAUCAGCUGUACUGGAGUUAAGGGAAAAGUAAAUCAAAAACAAAGCAAAAAAAUCCUCCCUACAGUUUAAAUGGGUUUGAGGAGCUAAAUGGUAAACAUCGAGCUCUCUCUAGCCAGCAGAAAUGCUCAUCACUGAGAUGGCAUGUUUGAUUAAACACUUAUUUAAGCAGGAGUUUAAAUUCUAAAUGAGCUCUGACCUGUGAUCCUGGAAUAUUUAAUUGGUCCUCUAGCAUUUUUUUCUUGUUGUUGUUGUUUUUGUUUAAACUUAACGAUUUUCUCAACAUCAACAAAGUCUCUUCAUUUACUGUAACCCCCUUUUUUUCCACAGGCUUACUCUUUCACUCCAGAACUGGUCACAUUCUUGAAAAACAAAAUUUGGAGGUUGCUUUCAGUAGUUAGAAACUGCUUUUGCAGUAUUUUAAGUCCCAUGGGACCUUGUUGUCCUCUUUUUAGUGCAGGAGAUAAGGAGGCAAGCAGUCAAUUUUCAGUGCCUUUCCACUCCUUGUAUUUGCAUUUUUUUCAGGGUAGGGGAAGAAAGCAAUUUUACCUUUGAUGAUUUCCCAUGUCACUCACUAAAUUUGUUACUUUCUUUGUAAAAGCAAAAGCUAUGGGAUCUUCUGUGAGGCAGUUCCAGCUCUGCUGUAGAGUUCCCAGCUGGACCUCUUAGGAGGGCUUCUUCAUUUCAGCCCUAGUUCAUCUCUGUGCCACAAUGUAACAGCUAUUUAUUCUGCUUUCCUUCUUUUAACUAAUAUGACUCAAAAAUACUGAAACAUAAGUUUAGAGAGAGAAAUUAAUUUGUUGUUCAGCUGUUCCACCUCACUGCUGUCUCUUCUCCUUGAAGCCCAGUGGCUUCAAAAUACAGAUAUAAACGAAUCAGUGUUUUCUGAACAGAGAAGACCCUGUGGGAUGCUGUAGGGAAGGUUUAAAACAAUCCUUUGUGCUACAAAAUUUGCUGGCAGUUAUGGGACACACCUCAUAGUGCUUGCUUUUCCUGAAGAGUGGGAUGUUUUUUGAACUUUCUCGUUCACAAGUUAUCAGUCGAAGCACCUGGACAACUGUUGCUCUAACUUCCACAAGAGCUGAGGAUAACUGGCUGAGGAUAACUUUUCUAAUGAGGACAGGACCUUGUUUUGGCUGGCUGGAUAUUUUCCCCCACUUUAUUUUAAUACUUUAAAUACAACUAAAAAGGGGAUGUUCCAUCUCUCUCUCUCUCUCUCUCUCUCUCUCUCUCUCUCUUUUUAAUUUUAAGCCUUAAUUGUCAGUCAGUCUAGGUGCCCUGGAUGUUUCCUGGGGAGGGGGAGAAGAGGGCAGGGCAAGGUAAAGGCCGACAUUCCUGCUGCAAUGUUCUGUUCAUUUCCUUCAAGAGCUUGAAUUCAGGUCAGAGCCACACAGAGUUGUGGCUUCAACUCAAGUGUCAUAUAAAAAGAUACAGAAAUUAUAAUAUGAUCUCAGCAUUCAGAAAUUUGCAGUCUUAAUGUACAGUGAUGAGAAACUGUUAUUUUAUGAUCUUUUCAUUAAAAGCUUGAUUGAAAAAUUACAUCUUUUGCUCUAGAGUUCACCUUGUUCCUACAGCUGACUGUGUCUAUGUUUUCUCCUCCCUCAUUUGUUCUUGCCCAGGGAUUUGAACCAGUUGCUUCACAAAGAAGAACCACUGCCCCACACAUACGCAGCCUAACUAGCCACACAGCUUCUCAUUUUAUGCACCUACUGCUCAUAAACCAGGAUGUGUUGCUUGUUAGAAUAUAAGAAGGGAUGAAUAACACGGGCCAGGCUGGCAUACAGGAAACGUGCAGGCAAAGGACAGUGGUGGCAUCCUAAUUUUACCUUUCUUGUCAUGACCCUGAGCAACCUGAGGCUGUUUUUGAACAGUCACUCUUGCUUUGCUCUGUUCAUGUCCUAAUGACAGUUUGAAAGCAAUCUUUGUCAGAGACAGAAGAUGGUAGAUGCACCUCCUGAUCUGCAGAUGCCUUCAGCCUGUUUGGGCUGCACGUCUAGCUCUGUAGGCCCAUCUCCAAGGAGCAGAGAAGCAUCUGAAGCAGAAAAAUUUCCUAAAAGAAAUAAGGUUCUCCAUCCACAUGUGGUGCACAUAAACCAGGGAAAUGCUUCCAGGGAAGAUGACUAUAAGUAAUGACAAAAGCACUUGCUGCAGAUUUUACCCUCUCAAAUGCUAAAAACCAGACAUUUUUCCUUGGACAGGUGAAGUGUGAACCUAGUGAAAUUAAUUACCAUUUCUUUGGUCCAUGUUUUAACAGCAUUUUCUAGUUCCCAGGCCACCUUUCUGGAUCUAAGUAUGCUUUGAUAUAAUAUAUAUUUAAUGAAGACAAAUUAAGUAUCUGCACCAUAAUGCAAGAACCAAGCCUAAUAUUAUGCAACAUUUCCCUUUGUCACACUGCACAUCACAACAGUUGUGCUGUUUCUCCCAGAGCCUGUUGGAACAUCUUAAUAUUCAGCAGAGUAAUCCUGGUGUUGAAUUCCUGUAUUUUGUUCUUCCUCUUCUUCUUUUUAAGCACAAUGCUGACUAUAUUUUAAAGUGACUGACUGAAGGAGCUUCAAGUUUAGUCAGUUUUCUGACAGGUUGCAAAGUCAGCAGCACUGGUAAGAAUAUCAUUUUUAUUUGUCCUUGGAGAUGUGUUUUACCCGGCAAGGUUAAAUAGAAGGACAAAAAUGAACAGAAAAACAGAUGAAGAGCUACAGAAAACCAGCGGCUAUUUUUCAACAGCUCAGAUGUGGUAACGAGCCUGUACUCUUCUCCCAGCUACCGUCUAAACAAGAGAUGACAUACCUUUUGAAAAGCAGUUUUCCUGUGGUUGCUUGUGCCCUGAAAAUGCAUGCACCUGGAAAUUCAAGUGCUUGAGAGAAGAUGUAGAAGAUCAGUCCGUAAGUGUUCUUGCUGCACUUGGGGAGCUAGAAGAUGGACCGGAUUCCAUGCCUCAGUCUUCCCUAGAAAUGACAACAGAGAAAGCGUCAACACUGAAAUGUAAGAGCAGACUAAAAGGCCAGACUUCUUUUUCUUUAACAACAUAUCUGAAAGAGUCUUCCUCCACCUCUCAGUAGAGUUGACUCUACUGAGACAUUCAGAAAGGCGAUGCUUGGACAACCUCAUCUCAAAUUAUGCAAUAUACUAGCAUAGGUCUUCUAGAAAGGCUACUGACUUUGAAGGAGAAGGACCAGCAUUCAGCAUACCAAAAAGGCCACUCCUGGUGCUGAGCACCUCUGCAAGGAUGGGGGCUGGACCCAGGACUAACUCUGAGCUUGAAAUGUAAACUCUGUGAACUUCAGGUGUGAGCAGUCAUGAGAAGGUUCAGAGUUACAGAAUCACCAGUUUGGAGGCAUCCCUGGAGAUUGUUUGUCCAACCCCCCUGUUCAAGCCAGGCUCAACUACACCAGGCUGCCCAGGACCUCUCCAGUUGGGCUUUGAAGACCUCCAGGGAUGAAGAUUCUGCAACCUCUUUGGACAACCUCUCCCUGUGUUCAGUCACCCUUAUGGUAGAAAUCACUGAGAAGACUCUGGCCUCAUCCUCUUUAUUCCUACCCACCAAGUGUUUGCAUGUAUUGGCUAAUCAGGUCCACAUGGAAAAACCUGCUCUUUUCUUGCCUCCACACUUCCUUUUCCCACUAAUACUUGCUUCAGUCGGUGAAGCAGAUUCCAGUUUUAGGGAGCUGCCAGGGUGAAAGUUGUAGCUAACAACCACCCAGGGGAGCCCAAGUGUUUGAUUGCUCCUGUUCUGGUCAAACCUACAUGACCAAGCCUGUGGUGCCAAUGCUUACUGUAAUUUGCAGUGACAGAGAAACAAGGAUGCAGCACCACAGAUGUCAAAGCCAGCAUCAGAAGACAAGUAUGAAGAAGUGCUCUACUGAUCUUCUGUAUUACAAUCUUGACAUUCAUUAAAACAGGCAAAAAUAAACCACCGUCA